AGCUUUGUGGGGAGGCAGUAUCAUGGCCAAUGAGGUUUAUCUGAGGCACAAUUAUUGCUAAUUGAAAGGAAUAUUAUACAUCAUUACCUUAUCUUAACCGACAAAAGCAAACUUCAAUUGCGCCUGUUUUUAUGCAUAUUGUAAAAUACCAACUUUAAUAACAUACAUAUGAAA
rnacentral:snRNA from 1 species